UACGUAGGGGGCAAACGUUGUUCGGAAUUACUGGGCGUAAAGCGCGCGUAGGCGGACCUGCAAGUCGGGGGUGAAAGCCCGAGGCUCAACCUCGGAACUGCCUUCGAUACUGCGGGUCUCGAGUCCGGGAGAGGUGAGUGGAAUUCCUAGUGUAGAGGUGAAAUUCGUAGAUAUUAGGAAGAACACCAGUGGCGAAGGCGGCUCACUGGCCCGGUACUGACGCUGAGGCGCGAAAGCGUGGGGAGCAAACAGG
rnacentral:rRNA from 1 species